AACGAACGCUGGCGGCAUGCCUAACUCAUGCAAGUCGAACGAGACCUUCGGGUCUAGUGGCUCACGGGUGCGUAACGCGUGGUAACCUGCCCUUAGGUUCGGAAUAACUCCCCGAAAGGGGUGCUAAUACCGGAUAAUGUCUUCGGACCAAAGAUUUAUCGCCUUUGGAUGGGCCCGCGUUGGAUUAGCUAGUUGGUAGGGUAAAAGCCUACCAAGGCGACGAUCCAUAGCUGGUCUGCGAGGAUGAUCAGCCACACUGGGACUGAGACACGGCCCAGACUCCUACGGGAGGCAGCAGUGGGGAAUAUUGGACAAUGGGCGAAAGCCUGAUACAGCAAUGCCGCGUGAGUGAUGAAGGCCUUAGGGUUGUAAAGCUCUUUUACCCGGGAUGAUAAUGACAGUACCGGGAGAAUAAGCUCCGGCUAACUCCGUG
rnacentral:rRNA from 1 species